rnacentral:rRNA from 1 species
UACAGAGGUCUCAAGCGUUGUUCGGAUUCAUUGGGCGUAAAGGGUGCGUAGGCGGGCCGGUAAGUCAGUGGUGAAAUCCCCGAGCUUAACUCGGGAACUGCCAUUGAUACUAUCUGUCUUGAAUAUUGUGGAGGUAAGCGGAAUAUGUCAUGUAGCGGUGAAAUGCUUAGAUAUGACAUAGAACACCUAUUGCGAAGGCAGCUUACUACGCAUAUAUUGACGCUGAGGCACGAAAGCGUGGGGAUCAAACAGG